UCCACUGCAGUAAGGCGAUAUUUAUACUCUUUCAAAUAACAAGGAGAAUAAGAAUAAGAUAAGAUAAAGGUUAUCCUUCGCAUGGACAGAUAAAACGAAUGGGUAUUGUAAGACAUACACGUGAUAUCAACGCUUAAGAUCAAAUACGUUCUAAAAAAAAAAAGAAAAGAAAAAAAAGGGAAAGAAAACCAUCGACUAAUUGUAAAUAUCCCCCAAUCCCUCUUUUACCUAUAAAUCCGUCUAGCGACUUGACUGCAAACAAACAAAAAGUAAUAAUCUCUCUUAGAAUAAUCCGGAUUGACCAUUUACAUUUUGGCGAUCCCUAGCAACCAAGCCGGAGCAAGAUUCGUUGGCGGCGUCUGGCAACCCCGCCGCGAAAUGUAAACAAAGCAGACGACAACACGGGACAUGUGGGCGGAAAGACGUCUGUGUUUUGCUUGGAAUUCUUGGUGUUUUACCGCUUGUUGAGGUUAAGCGUACUGUACGUAAAGACUGAAAUUCGCCAAGUAAUGUAUGGACUCCAUGCCUCAUGCUCCAGCAAAGGCCAACAAGUCUCUAUUAUGUGAAAUUAUCAAGAUAGAGCAUGGAUUGUUUCUUCAUGUGACUAAAUCACCAGGGAGGUCAAAAGCUUCAUCUUGCCAAAAUAUAAGAGAUGGAAGUUUACUUAACGAGUGCAGAGAGUGGAGGCCACAGUAUCACUUGACAUUGAUGCACGAGUAUAGAUAUAUAGAUUUGUGAUAACCAACUUAUUCUUUUCUUUCCAACAAAUAUUUUUUUUUGGGGUAUUGUUUUAGUAUAUGACCAAGAUGCCCUUUACAGUCAAGGUACAUGGUAUCUUAUGUAUUUGGAUGUGAUAAGAAUGAAACUGAUGUUUAGUUCUAUUUCAAUCCAUGUCUGAUUGAAUAUUCUUGUUAAAGUGUGUAAGCCCACAAAGUGUUUGCUUUCACAAUUUGUUCUCUGGCAAAAGUCAACAAAUAUACAUGUAUUCUGGCAUGAUAAA